UAAAGAAAGCGUAACAGCUCACUGGUCAAGCGCUCCUGCGCGGAAAAUGUAACGGGGCUUAAGUGAUACACCGAAGCUGCGGAUUCGAUCUUUGAUCGAGUGGUAGCGGAGCGUUCCGUAGGCCGAUGAAGGUGGACCCGCGAGGGCCGCUGGAGGUAUCGGAAGUGAGAAUGCUGACAUGAGUAGCGAUAAAGAGUGUGAGAGACACUCUCGCCGAAAGUCCAAGG
rnacentral:rRNA from 1 species